GUGCUCGCUUCGGCAGCAGAUAUAGUAAAAUUGGAACGAUACAGGGAAGAUUAGCAUGGUCCCUGCGCAAGGGUGGCACACAAAUUCAUGAAGGGUUCCAUAUUUUU
ensembl:snRNA LOC120101168 U6 spliceosomal RNA